AUUGAACGUUGGCGGCAGGCUUAACACAUGCAAGUCGAACGAUGAUUAUCUAGCUUGCUAGAUAUGAUUAGUGGCGGACGGGUGAGUAACAUUUAGGAAUCUGCCUAGUAGUGGGGGAUAGCUCGGGGAAACUCGAAUUAAUACCGCAUACGACCUACGGGUGAAAGGGGGCGCAAGCUCUUGCUAUUAGAUGAGCCUAAAUCAGAUUAGCUAGUUGGUGGGGUAAAGGCCCACCAAGGCGACGAUCUGUAACUGGUCUGAGAGGAUGAUCAGUCACACCGGAACUGAGACACGGUCCGGACUCCUACGGGAGGCAGCAGUGGGGAAUAUUGGACAAUGGGGGCAACCCUGAUCCAGCCAUGCCGCGUGUGUGAAGAAGGCCUUUUGGUUGUAAAGCACUUUAAGCAGGGAGGAGAGGCUAAUGGUUAAUACCCAUUAGAUUAGACGUUACCUGCAGAAUAAGCACCGGCUAACUCUGUGCCAGCAGCCGCGGUAAUACAGAGGGUGCGAGCGUUAAUCGGAAUUACUGGGCGUAAAGCGAGUGUAGGUGGCUCAUUAAGUCACAUGUGAAAUCCCCGGGCUUAACCUGGGAACUGCAUGUGAUACUGGUGGUGCUAGAAUAUGUGAGAGGGAAGUAGAAUUCCAGGUGUAGCGGUGAAAUGCGUAGAGAUCUGGAGGAAUACCGAUGGCGAAGGCAGCUUCCUGGCAUAAUAUUGACACUGAGAUUCGAAAGCGUGGGUAGCAAACAGGAUUAGAUACCCUGGUAGUCCACGCCGUAAACGAUGUCUACUAGCCGUUGGGGUCCUUGAGACUUUAGUGGCGCAGUUAACGCGAUAAGUAGACCGCCUGGGGAGUACGGCCGCAAGGUUAAAACUCAAAUGAAUUGACGGGGGCCCGCACAAGCGGUGGAGCAUGUGGUUUAAUUCGAUGCAACGCGAAGAACCUUACCUGGUCUUGACAUAGUGAGAAUCCUGCAGAGAUGCGGGAGUGCCUUCGGGAAUUCACAUACAGGUGCUGCAUGGCUGUCGUCAGCUCGUGUCGUGAGAUGUUGGGUUAAGUCCCGCAACGAGCGCAACCCUUUUCCUUAUUUGCCAGCGGGUUAAGCCGGGAACUUUAAGGAUACUGCCAGUGACAAACUGGAGGAAGGCGGGGACGACGUCAAGUCAUCAUGGCCCUUACGACCAGGGCUACACACGUGCUACAAUGGUAGGUACAGAGGGUUGCUACACAGCGAUGUGGUGCUAAUCUCAAAAAGCCUAUCGUAGUCCGGAUUGGAGUCUGCAACUCGACUCCAUGAAGUCGGAAUCGCUAGUAAUCGCAGAUCAGAAUGCUGCGGUGAAUACGUUCCCGGGCCU
rnacentral:rRNA from 1 species